rnacentral:rRNA from 1 species
GGAUAACCUCGGGAAACUGAGAAUAAACCACGAUAGAUCAUAGUGCCUGGAAUGGCCUCUGGUCCAAACAGUUUACUGCCAUGGGAUGGGACUGCGGCCUAUUAGCUUGUUGGUGAGGUAAUGGCCCACCAAGGCGAUUACAGGUACGGGCUCUGAGAGGAGAAGCCCGGAGAUGGGUACUGAGACACGGACCCAGGCCCUAUGGGGCGCAGCAGGCGAGAAACCUUAGCAAUGUGCGAAAGCACGACUGGGUCAGUCCGAGUGAUUCCUGAUAAAGGAGUCUUUUGCUUGUCCUAAAAGCACAGGUGAAAUAGGGGUGGGCAAGUCUGGUGUCAGCCGCCGCGGUAAUACCAGC